UAAGCGGAGGAAAAGAAACCAACAGGGAUUGCCUCAGUAACGGCGAGUGAAGCGGCAACAGCUCAAAUUUGAAAUCUGGUCCCCUCUGGGGGCCCGAGUUGUAAUUUGAAGAGGAUGCUUUUGGCGAGGCGCCUUCCGAGUGCCCUGGAACGGGACGCCACAGAGGGUGAGAGCCCCGUAUGGUAGGACGCCGAGCCUCUGUAAAGCUCCUUCGACGAGUCGAGUAGUUUGGGAAUGCUGCUCAAAAUGGGAGGUAAACCCCUUCUAAAGCUAAAUAUUGGCCAGAGACCGAUAGCGCACAAGUAGAGUGAUCGAAAGAUGAAAAGCACUUUGAAAAGAGAGUUAAACAGCACGUGAAAUUGUUGAAAGGGAAGCGCUUGCGACCAGACUUGCGCCCGUCGGAUCAACCGUCCCUCGUGGGCGGCGCACUCCGGCGGGCUCAGGCCAGCAUCAGUUUUCCUGGGGGUAGAAAGGCGGUGGGAAUGUGGCUCUUCGGAGUGUUAUAGCCCGCCGCGUAAUGCCCUCGGGGGGACUGAGGACCGCGCGUAUGCAAGGAUGC
rnacentral:rRNA from 1 species